UCUUGCCACCACAGGUGAGGUGCCUCAGGGCUGUAGUGAACUUCUCCUGGCUGGGAGGUUGUCCCUCAGCUGCUCCGAGGUCACUUCUGGUGUUCCUGCCCAGACUUUGAGGCUGCUGUGGCUGCCAGGGCAGGGGAUGGGAAUGGGGCUGGCUCUGCCAGGUGCCACAUUUGUCACACCAGCACAGGGCUGGGAGGGCCUGUGGCUGCUUCCAGUGUGAAAAAUGCAGUGAGAUUUGUUGGGAGGUUGCAGGAAUAGCCAGCGGCUCGAGGAGGUGGGGUAGAAAUUAAAGAUAAAGAAGAAAUUUCAGCUCAUUGGCAGGACACAUAUUUUUCCAAUAUAAAAGCAAAUGGGGGAACCCUUAAAUAAAUUGACUCUAUAAAAACGUCCCUUUGUAUUACCACCUCACCUUUUCAGGGGGAAAACACCAAGGUUUAUUCUCAUGGAUCCAGAAUAAAAAUAUCAGGGCUGCUUUGUAAUUUGCCAGAGCCAGCAGGCAGUCCAGAGCUAUUUAAAACCCACAGGCCCCCCUCGGCACCCAGCGCCCGCCCGGCUGCAGGAGCAGCUGCCAUGGAAUUACAAGUCCUCGUCACAAGUGAGGAGAAACAAGUUGUGGCAUUUAGGAAAGGUCUGCAAAAAUAGGUGUCAGACCUUAACUAAUAGUGAUUGUCCUUCCAUUCUGCUGUAAUUUACAUUUAAUUCACACAUUUCAUUUCCAUUUAAAAUAUGAUUACAGUGUUUUGAAGCACAUCUCACCUGUCCCCUCCGAUUAGGGUGGGAUGGAAAUAACACGGAGCAGCAGGAGCCAGGCUGGGCUUGGCUGCAGGAUGGGAAACACACGGCGCUUCCAAAGCCAGGAGCGCUUCCAAAAACACCUCCCGAGCAGGGGCAGAGGGGCAGACAGACAGACACAGCCCUGCCCCACCUUCCUGCUGCUCCCACAGGGCUUUAAGCACCAGCUGAAAAGGUUUCACACCAUCCACCAGCUCCAGGCCCCAUCCAGCCUGGCCUUGGGUGCUCCCAGGGAUGGAUGAGGCAGCCAGGGCUUCACUGCCCUCCCAGGGGAGAAUUCCCCUCCUCCUGCACAGGCCUUCCAGAGGAUUUUUUUGAGCACAAAAAGUCCUGGUUCAGAAAUAAAUCAGGCAGGCCCUCCCCAGCCCGUGCUCAGCCCGCCCCCGGAGCGCCGCAAAGGCAGGAAGGCGCUGAUUAAUAUCUGCUACGUGUAGGGGAAAACAACAACCCCGUAAACAGUAUUAUUAACCCAUGGGCUGGCAAUAAAUCAGUGUGAGAAGGUGACCUCAGCAAUGCUGGAGUAAUCCUGUGUGUCAGGGUAAAUUUAUGAGGCCAAUUUUAUUGGCCUGUAUGACCCAGGCUCCUUGGAGAUGUCUCAGUAACAAAUCCAAUCCAUAUCAUUUAUUAGCUUUGCACAGUGUCAGCUCCGAGCACGGGAGGGAUCCCAUUAAAUCCUAUUGCUCCCUCUGCCAACCGUGGGCACAAAUAAGCUGUGGGAUAAUUGCUGGCUGCCAGGAGCCCCCAUUGAGGAAUCUGCUUUUGGACCCUUGCAGCUUCCCAGGCUGGAAGCGCCGGCGUUGGGUUUGGCCAUCGCGCCCUCGCCCUGCCUCGCCUGUGCUGGGCUGGCCGUGGGACAGGGGUGACAGAGGUGGGGACAGAGGUCUCCUCCUGCACCUCCCAGGUGCUGGACGAGGCUCUGGUGACCCUGGGAGCUGCUGCUGGGCCAGGGAAGGUGCAGGGUCCCAGCUGAAGGGACCUCGUGAACAGAUCUCUGGCGGGCGAGGGGCACACAAAGGGAUUUCAGAGCUGUUGGUGGCUGAAACUCCUCCCUCCAACAGGGAAGGGAGGCUCUGGCUGGGCCCUGCAGGCAGAGGCCAAAAAUCCUCCAUUUGGGGGCACUUGGGGACCUGGUGGUGACGUGUGUGUGGUGCCAAGCGCCCUGCUGGUGACAGGAGCAGUUGUGCCUUGGCAGCAGCACCUCUGGGUCCGGUCCCUGUGGCCAAGCAGGGCCUGGUGGAGCAGUUUGAGGCUGUUUGACUGUCCCUGUCAUCAUAAGGUUUACGGAUGGUUAAUUUAUUCUUUAUAGCACAGUCAUUGAUGGCUGUUAAAUCACAAAUGAGAGCCAAUAAAGGGUGAAUUGCAGCUGAAAUUACACUGUUUAUAUGACAGCAGAGUGCUGGCUAAAAGAUUCAUAUGCCGCUGAUGAAGUACGUUAUAAAUUUUAAUUACCAUAGUUUGUACAAAUGACAUGUUUGAAAUGCUAUUGAGUAAUGUGACCCUGAUAAUGAAACUAUAAAAUAAAUCAUUAACUUUCUGAAUGAGCUUUUUUAUUUCCAUGCUACAUGAAGUAAACUUUCCAAUUUAUUCCAUUGCAGACUUCUUCUGAAAAAAAAGUGCAGAAAAAAGAGUCACAAACCUCCCCUCCACUCUGAGGGACGCUGUCAAGCAAAGCAAAGGAGGGAUGAGUGGGACCAUGCUGGAAAGGAUGUCAGAAGAGUGGCCAAAGCCAGGCAAAGCCCUCAGAGUGCCUGGUUAAUGCGGGAUGAUGCCGUGCUCCUGCAGCUAUAGCCAGCUUAGCUGAGCGAGUGCAGAGAUAAGAGCAAGGCUCGAGAACCAGCUCCGAAGAGCCAUAAAAACCAUGGGCACAGAAGAGAGAAAAUCUCCAUUAAAGCCAGGCUGUGAUUAUAACUGGCUGGCUGGCCAGGGCUCUGCAGCCCGAGCUGCUGGACAGGGCCCUGCUCUCCCCAGGGAGCUCCCAGCUCUGCCCGAGCUUUGGGGCCGGAGCUUUGGAGCCUGAGCCCUGACGGUUCCACCCAGCAGCUGAGAUAAUUCCCUGGAUGGGAGCAAGGAGCUGAGCUGCAGCCCAGGGAGGAUUUCUCAGGAGCCUCCCCAGGGAAGGAAGCGCAGGCCGGGCGCUCACUGACCAUCGAGACAAGGGGAUGUUCUAAACCCUCUGGAAGGCACUGGAAUCAGGUUUUUACCUUAUUGCAUUGCCAUACAUUGUUUUUUAAGGGAUACAGGGCAUGGAACAAGAUGGGAGUGUGCCAGAGGUUCAUUCCCACCCCUCUGCAGAGGGUGUUCCAAAGCACUGUGUCCCCUGGUCCUGUGUGCCCACACUGACCCAUCCCAGAGCAGGAGCAAAGGGCUCCUCCUUCCCCUCAACCUCCACCAGAAAAUCCACCAGCUCUGGGGCUCUGCCCCCUCGCCAGCACCGCUGGCUUCUUCCUCAUCCUUGGUUAACCUUUAAUUAGGAGCCUGUUCUUUGCCCACCUCGGGCUGGGUGUGAGCCUCUCCUGCUCCCCAGCUCCCCACACUGUCAGCGAGCAGCACACCUGUGUCCCAGGGCAGACAAAAGGUGGCAGAGGGACUCUCCAAAUAAUCCUUGGGAAGGAGGGGGAAGGGGCCCCGUGACAUUUCCAGCCACGGGGAUGCAGCGGAAUGGUGCAGGUCAGGCACCGUGCAGGGCUCGGGCUGCAGGAGAUGAGGUCAUUUCUGACCCUUAACGAGGUUUGUGGUUCUUGGUGCAGAGCUAGAGAUGGAUCUCAAACCUCAACCUCCCUGUGUGCCAGGGAGUCCUUGUCCACGGGAGCCGUGGUGAAUCCCUGGCUGGGUGCCCCUAAGUCAGGCAGGGAGUGUUUGCCAGUGGGGCGGGCAGCGUGGGCACCCACUGCCACCAUGGCACAAGCCACAGCCACCCCCAGCCCCCUGGGCAGGCCUCAAUGGCUCUGUGUCCUCCCCAGCAGUGUUUGGAGCUCAGGACUGUAACGCCCACUUUUGUCUUAUCAGCCACACUGAAAAUAUUCCCAAGCAGGCUGCUCAUGCCGCACUACUUACCAUUAAAAGAAAGGACCACAUUAUUGCUGUUAUAAACCAUUGAUUAAGGUUUAUAAUAGCAAUAAUCCCCUCGAAAUUCAUUGUUACUGCAGUUAAUGACCAGUUUAUUAGAGCGUUAACCAUCCUUGGCAAUGGGCUGAGUCGUUUAAUGCUGGUAACGACCAAUUUCUCAAGGGUUAUUGCUUAAAUAACAAGCCUUUGUUAGAUAUAUGUUCCCCCACCAGAUACUGCUCCAGCUGGAACCUUCUCCUGUGAAAUAAUUGUUAAUUAUUUCCUCCAAGUUUUGCCGCCAUGUCUCAAAGUUUUCGGUGGGAAGGGCUGCCGAAGGCACAGAGUGCCAGAGAUGCUCAGAGCUGAGGCUGGCUGAUGUGAGAGGACACAGCCAGAGACGCUGGAGCCGUCGCUGAGGGCUGUGGGAGCUGUGCUUGGGGAGGUUUUUUCCCUCUUCUGCUACCCAGGAGUGUUCCAGCCCUGGGCAGGGCCACGCCCGGAGCACCGGCUCAAGCUGGGAUCAGGGAAUGUCCAAGGAUGAGCCCCGGGCUCCCGGGCACUGCCACAAGCCACCCGAGCAGGGUGAGAGCCACCAGAGCUGUGCCUCGCUCUCCUCUUACAUUAAUUAGAUCCGAGCGUCUCACGGCGCUAACGAGGUCCCAUCGUGUCACAUCUGUGCCAUCCCUCCAACAGCGCUCCCAGGCCUGACACCACACGAGAGGCACAGACAUGGCUACCCUUUAAUUGUGUCAUACUAAAAAAUAAAUACUGAAACAGCACCGGGCUGACACGGAGCCACGGCAGGUCCCGGCAGCGGGAUCGGACCCGCGGCUCCCGGCUCCAGCCCGCUGCCAGGCCCGGCUGCUCACCAGGAAAUCGUGGGAAGGGGAUGCCCUGGUGGGCUUCCAGCAGUGCUUCCCUGCUGCCAGAUGUGCAGGGAAACCCCUGCCCUGGGCACAGCCCCCUGCCCUGGGCACAGCCCCCAGGGGCUGGCAGGCGUCUGUGGGGUGGGACAGGCUACACUGCCGUGAUCCCCUCAGCCCCAGCACCUCACCCUCUCUCCAGCUGCCUCUAACAGCCUUUUGGAUUUGGCUGUGCCAAAGAGCAAGUCCCUGCAGCUCCCUCAGAAAAGUUACUUUUCCAUAGCAAAUUAAAUUUUAGGCUUUCCUCUCUCUUGUUAAGAAACACAAAGAAAAUCUUGAUUUGAGGAAUUGGUUGAAGUCUGAGCGGUGUUAGGGUUGGUUUUGGUGCUUGCCUCCCUCCUUUUACUCUUUGUUCCCACGUUUGUGGGGUCUUCGAGGUGUCAUUGGAAAAA
ensembl:lncRNA